UCCAUUCGCUUGGGGGAGGGGGAUGACUGCAGUGUUAGCGUUUUCUCUCUGUGCAAAGUAAACAGUGUAAAUUGAACGUAUCCAGAGAGCUAUACAUAUAUAUAUAUAUGUAUGGUCGAUUAGCCAUUGACCGAAUUAUUUUCGGCCAAGAAUUGUGAGUCGUCCUUAAUUGGACCCUGCGGAACGAUAAAUUCGAGCGGCAGAAGAAAACGGAAGAGAGGAGCGAAGAGGCUGGACGCGUUACGGUGACGUCAAAGAUUUCCCUGGAAAAUCGUGCGAAACGGCUCUAGCCUAGUCGAUACUCUCGAGCGAAAAUUUCGAGAAAAUUUCGACGAGCAAGGAGCGACAACUCGAUCGAACUUGAAAACAGAUAUACAUAUAUAUAUAUAUAUACGCGCGAGUGAAAGAGGAGAGUUGUGGAUCGGUUCGAAGAAAUGAGAGGGCAAAGGAUGAGGAGGAAGAAAGGCGGCGUCGACGAGGGAUCGUCGACGACCUGAUGCGGCAUCUCUGAUCCGAAAGAGCGCGGCGAGAUCUCGGCUGCGCUCGUGGCGAUCGUGGGACGAAGAAAAUGAACGAAAGCGCGGUCUACCUGCUCGGCUCGGAGGAAGAGGGAAACGUGGGUGGGAACCAGCUGAACCGAAGCUUCUACAGCGCGAGCUACCCGCCCCAGAACCGCAGCAACGAGGAUCUGUGGAACUUGGCCACGGAUCGGGCCGGCCUGGCCGUACUCCUGUUCCUGUUCUCGGUGGCGACCGUGUUCGGCAACACGUUGGUGAUCCUCGCCGUGGUCAGGGAGAGGUAUCUCCACACGGCGACCAAUUACUUCGUCACCUCGUUGGCGUUCGCCGAUUGCCUGGUCGGGUUGGUCGUGAUGCCGUUCAGCGCCAUUUACGAGGUGUUGGAGAACCGAUGGCUGUUCACCACCGACUGGUGCGACGUGUGGCGCUCGUUGGACGUCCUAUUCUCCACAGCGUCGAUCCUCAAUCUGUGCGUCAUCAGCCUGGAUCGUUACUGGGCUAUCACCGACCCGUUCACCUAUCCGAGCAAGAUGAGCAGGAAACGGGCCGCCAUACUCAUCGCGAUCGUGUGGAUCUGCUCGAGCGCCAUCUCGUUCCCGGCGAUCGCCUGGUGGAGGGCCGUGCGAACGGAGGAGGUGCCCGAGGACAAGUGCCCGUUCACCGAGCACCUCGGAUAUCUCAUCUUCUCGUCGACCAUCAGCUUCUACUUACCCCUGUUCGUAAUGGUGUUCACUUACUACAAGAUAUACAGGGCGGCCGUGAUCCAGACCAAGAGCCUGAAACUGGGCACCAAGCAAGUUUUGAUGGCCUCCGGUGAAUUGGAGCUCACUCUGAGGAUACAUCGGGGCGGUGGAACCAACACCGACGCGAGACACCUGUUCCGCACCGCCUCGAGCACGCCCGAGGACCUCCAGGAUCUCGAGGAGCCGCUCACUACCGUCCAGCACAACAACUGUUUAACCAGGAUCCCGUCCACGAGGAUCAAUAAACAGCACAGGGGCAACAAUUUCUCCCUGUCGCGAAAACUGGCCAAGUUCGCCAAGGAGAAGAAGGCGGCCAAGACGUUGGGGAUCGUGAUGGGCGUCUUCAUCAUCUGUUGGCUCCCUUUCUUCGUCGUCAACCUCUGGUCGGGUUUUUGCUCCCAGUGCAUAUGGCAGGAGAAGAUCGUGUUCGCCGCUGUUACGUGGCUGGGUUGGAUAAACAGCGGAAUGAAUCCGGUCAUAUACGCCUGCUGGAGCAGAGAUUUUCGUAGAGCGUUCGUGAGGAUCCUGUGCGCCUGCUGCCCCGGACGAGUAAGGCGGCGGUAUCAACCUGCAUUCAGAUGUAAACCAAGUCAAAGAUUCGCAUCGGGAAGAUACUACUCCGCUUAUUCCCUUCACCACGUGCGAAGCAGCCGAGAGAGUUCGUGCGAGCAAACCUACAUUUAACGAUGGGACUAUACGGCCGCGACGUGGAUUUUCGUCAAUCGUUGGACAAUAUACCCGAACGAUAUGCCAUUCUAGAAUUCCCGCAUCGUCCCCCCCCCCCCCUUGUUGUCGUUCCUCCAUUCGUUGCCGUCGAACCAUCCCCCUCUUCACGAAUCAUAUCCUAUCCCCCUCCCUCCUCCUCCCCGGCAGGAGAGAGUACACUUAGAGAGUACAGAGAGAUUGUCGAAGGCGAAGGAGAUUGUCACCAACCCCGUAUAACAUAGUCUCGUACGUUUCCGGGGUGAGUACGAGCGGCGAGGCGAGCCGCGUGAGUUACAGCAGCGUGAGCCAGAGCAGCGACGGUGCCGGAAGCGUGCUGCCCAGCGGCGGGAUGUGACGUCACACGGGGGCCCGGUCUGGGCCUCGACGAGAGCGCGCUAUCCGUUUCCGUGACACGUGAUUGUAGGCUCGCUUCUCGAGGAAUCGUGUCGGGCGAACUUCCACUCGGAAAUGCACGUUCCAGAUCUCCGAGUUCGGAGCCGUGGUGAACCAACAUCGCCUCCUCCCUCCGUGUGUGCAUCCGCGCGUCAUGUGAGCGUGAGUGUGUACGUGUGCGCUUCCGACUAGACGAAUCGAGGAUAAACGACGUGCUUCCGUUCUUCCUUAUCGUCGAGCUUUUUAAAACACCGGUGACGAAAAGUGGACCACGAAGAAGCGUCACGCGCGAACCGGGACGCCCCAAACCGGGAUACUUGUACCGGUUAUUGUGUGCCCCUUUGCCUUAAUCGUUUCUCUUCUUCUUCUUCUUUUUAUUGAUAGAAAUUUUUGUUAGAUAGUUUUUUGUAAUUUUUGUAAUGUGUUUAUAAAAAUUUAUUGAUCGAGAAUCCGAUUAUAUAAGUGAAGUGAUGCUGAGAUAAUGAUGAGAAUUAAGAAAGAAAAUUGUUAAUUAAAUUAAUAAUUGAAAUUGGUUUUUCAAAAAUUGAUUUCAUUCAGGGGCGCACAAUGAUCGGUGUAAAUAGCCUGUUAUUUCUUGUACAUAGAGUAGUAUUCGCGUUUUGUACAUCCUAUAACGAAGGAUUUAGAGAAAAUCGAAAGACGGUAAAAGGCCGUAAAUCGUGCUCGGCCGAUAGCUCGUUACCGUUUUUACGUUUCGGAUACCUUCGUGAUACUACUGUAGCCUUUUAGCGAGAAACCUUCGUACAGGGAAUCGUAAAACGAUCUGGUGAUGCGCGAACGAGAGUAUCUAUCCGAGUUAUCCUUUACUUUCUUCUCCAACGAAUUGUGUCUAACCGUUUCGUUUCGAUGCGAUUACCGCUUUUCCGAGUCGAAUUUUAAGAAAAGAAAAAAGAAAAGAAAAAAAAAGUCUACGAAAAUACGUUCCUGUUCCUGCUUUCCUGUUGCACCUUUAAAAGACUGACGAUCGGAAUGUUCGGCAACGUCGAACACGGAAUUGGUUCUCCCUCUCUCCGAGUUUCCAGGAAACGGCGAUCUCUCGUGUCGAUGCAUUGGUAGCCGGUUACACGAAACUGAAAACCAUACGCAAAAUUAAAAUGAUGCGGGAAAAUAAUACGUGUGUGUUCUUCGAGGAAAAAAAAAAUUACAAUAUCGCAGGAGCGUAAUAUUCUUCCAGUCAUCGUUAAUCACGUACACGAGAGACGCAAAGAAAAUCGUUACGAUUCGCAAACGCAUUCGCAGUAACACGCACAGUUUAGAUGGAAUGAAAGUUAAGGUGAAAUUAUCACAAAUGCGAUCGUAUAUUACUUACAAGCGGCAGAAAAAAUAUAUUUGUCAAGUCGUCGUCGAACGAAACUUUGCGAAACGAAAUCGAUAACAGAAUCAAUCUUUCUUUAUUAGCAACAAGAUUAUAUGAUGUAGAAUGAGUUGCGCAUCGGGGCCGUUGUAACUUAAUCGAAGAAUAAAAUAACAAAGUUGUAAUUUGGAUGAAUGAAUUCGUUCACACUGAUUGCCAAUUUCUGAAAAAAAAAAUAAUUGGUUAGUUCAAUUAAAGAUAUUAAUUGAUCAAAUUAUAUUUAUCAUAAAUAUUGUUAAUUUAUAUACUUCGAAAUUGUUUUUCUAAUAUCAAGACCUAUUUGAAAAUUAAAAAGUAAUAAAUGGAAUUAUUGUAUCGGACAAUCUUUAUUCGAUAGACAGAUGUCAACUCGUUCUACUAUCAAUGGCGGAUAUUUUUGCAAAAUAAUUAUUUAUUUUAUCUAUUUUAUUUGAACAUAAACAUUCGUUGUUGUACAUAAAACAAUUAUCGCGCAAUUGUAAAUAUUAGGACAUUGUAAAAUUAACUUAUGUGAAAUGUAUACAUAUAUGUAUGAGACAUUGUAACAAAGUGUGUAUCAAUACGAAUAUAUACAAACGUUUCCUCGAAUAAAAAUACAUCAAUUCAAUAAUCCUAUCUCGGUAAAAAAAUUGCAAAAAAAUUUGAUUAAACAUUUGGUGUUCAU